rnacentral:rRNA from 1 species
AGUGAACGCUGGCGGUAGGCCUAACACAUGCAAGUCGAACGGCAGCACAGUAAGAGCUUGCUCUUACGGGUGGCGAGUGGCGGACGGGUGAGGAAUACAUCGGAAUCUACUUUUUCGUGGGGGAUAACGUAGGGAAACUUACGCUAAUACCGCAUACGACCUACGGGUGAAAGCAGGGGAUCUUCGGACCUUGCGCGAUUGAAUGAGCCGAUGUCGGAUUAGCUAGUUGGCGGGGUAAAGGCCCACCAAGGCGACGAUCCGUAGCUGGUCUGAGAGGAUGAUCAGCCACACUGGAACUGAGACACGGUCCAGACUCCUACGGGAGGCAGCAGUGGGGAAUAUUGGACAAUGGGUGCAAGCCUGAUCCAGCCAUACCGCGUGGGUGAAGAAGGCCUUCGGGUUGUAAAGCCCUUUUGUUGGGAAAGAAAAGCGGCAGGUUAAUACCCCGCUGUUCUGACGGUACCCAAAGAAUAAGCACCGGCUAACUUCGUG